CGAGUAAACUGUUCACAUACGUAACCAACUGAAAACAGGAAGGGGUGCGUGUGUGUACGUGGUGUAGAUGAAGGGGAAUUCACAGAUCGAGAUCAGUGGACUAGUCAUUGGAAGGAAGUCUGAGAAAUAAUCUUGAUAUUUUAGCAAAUAGAUGUUGCAUCGGUAAUGAUGAUUCUUAUUCUUAUCUUUCUUCGGCCUUUCUAAGUCCUACAAAUGACUCCGCAAAUGUGACUGGCUGCCUGACGCAAACUCUCACUGCACCGAGGAAAUGUCCCAGAGCUUUUGUGUGCCAAGCUGUGACGGCUCAUCUAUCACUGAGGCCGCAAAUACACAUUACACUCCCAUUACAGACCAUCACAGCAACAACCGCAACAGUACACAGUCCGGAGGAAAGGCCCACUGCGAGGAGCUGCAUUUACACACGUCCACCAUUUCGCGCAAAAGGAAGUGGAGGCUUCUGCAAAUGCUGCUCUGGAGGUACUUCAAACAGAAACGAGACACGCAGUACGUUACCACAGUCCUCCCGUGGAUUUCACUUACCCCCUCGGCACGUCUUCUGUGAAGUCGAUGCGGGCAUUCGGGCCUCCUCCUCUUCCUCCCCCAAGGACUGUGUCUAUCAAACUAUCACUGGAAUGUCGAACCAGGCCCCUGAAGCCCACACGUACAGCCACACUCAGCAGCACUCAGCACAUGUCUCCGACUGCCAGCACAGGGAAAGAGACGUGGUCAAUCACACCGGACAGCAGAGGAGAGAGGAAAGAGCGCUGGAGAGUGGGAGGCGGACAAGCAUUUCAUCAGCAGAAAAAAAACAUGUAAUGUGCAAAACACAUCACGUGAUGGCUAAAGCACUUCAUUUGUUGGCAGAAAUUCAUUAUCAUUGUAUUGAAUAUGAAACCUCCGCAUGUUAUCCUGAAACCAAUAGGUCAAGACCAGUUGCAGCCUCUGUCUCCUGCCAAAGUUAUUGCGUUUUUCAAAUACAAGACCACAUAUUUCAAAGAUUCUGCACGUUGCUUCAUGUCGCAAGCAUGACACUGCAUACUCGGAGGUUUACUCAAAAAAAAAAGUCAUUUGAAGAACUCAAUUUAUUUGUGAGCUGGAAUUCCAUCCGUAGACCUGACUCAAAAACAUUCAUGAAAUAGAAUUAAAUUGAUUUAGUCCAACUCAUUUUGAUGAAAUUCAUCUCAAAUGACUAGAUACCAUUAAUCAAAUAUAACAAAAUGUUGUUCAUUAAACUCAAUCUAAACUCAAAAAGUAAGUCAUUGGAUGAACUCAAUUUAUUUGUGUGCAGGAUUUCCAUCUAAUAAAUAUGUGUAGCCUCAAUCUAAGAACAUCCAUGCAAUUUUAAUAAAAUCCUUCUAAAACAAUUAUUUUACUUAACAUUUUUUAUUUGAUCCCCUAUUAAGACACAUGAAACAUAAUGUAGUUCAAGCGUUUUUAUUGCAAAUGCUCAGAGAAGUCAGAACUGACCAGCCAAUACAAUACAAAAUACAAAAUAAACCAUCUGAUCAGGAAAUUAAUUAACAAAAGUCCAAAAAUUAUCAAGUGCAUUGUGUAUUUCCAUUAAUAACAAUGUAAGUUAAUAUCAACUAGCCUGUACUAUACUGUACUCGGUCCUCAGUACGAGUGUUAGUGUUAGUUUUAAUUGGUUUAGUCAUAAAACGCAGGUAAGUGAUGCAAUAGCUUCCCGGCUAAGCUAAUAUAAUAUGAGCUAAGACCACUUGUUACCUUGGUUACGAUAACCACUUUCAGGCGGCGCCCCGAAGGAAUGCAACUUGUAAAUAUUGAUGCAUUGUAACGUUGAGAGACAGUAAUACAGGAUAAUUUAUAUUAUAGAUUUAUAUUUAUAUGUAUGUAGC
ensembl:lncRNA